rnacentral:rRNA from 1 species
CGUAGGUGGCAAGCGUUGUCCGGAAUUAUUGGGCGUAAAGCGCGCGCAGGCGGUUUCUUAAGUCUGAUGUGAAAGCCCCGGCUCAACCGGGAGGGUCAUUGGAAACUGGGGAACUUGAGUGCAGAAGAGGAGAGUGGAAUUCCACGUGUAGCGGUGAAAUGCGUAGAGAUGUGGAGGAACACCAGUGGCGAAGGCGACUCUCUGGUCUGUAACUGACGCUGAGGCGCGAAAGCGUGGGGAGCGAACAGGAUU